rnacentral:piRNA from 1 species
UAGGCAGAAGAUGUUGACUUUUUAGGUGGG